UCCAAGAAAAUUUGAGAAGUUCCCCAGC
rnacentral:piRNA from 1 species